rnacentral:rRNA from 1 species
AGACGUCUACAUUAGAUACCCCGUAGUCCCAGCCGUAAACUAUGCGCGUUAGGUGUAUCGGUGACCACGAGUUACCGAGGUGCCGAAGGGAAACCGUGAAACGUGCCGCCUGGGAAGUACGGUUGCAAGGCUGAAACUUAAAGGAAUUGGCGGGGAGCACCACAACGGGUGGAGCCUGCGGUUUAAUUGGACUCAACGCCGGGAAGCUCACCGGAUAAGACAGCGGAAUGAUUGCCGGGCUGAAGACUCUGCAUGACUAGCUG